CUGCGGGAGGGCGUCCCGAAGACUCCGGGAGAUGUGGGAGGGAGAGAGAGAGCUUGGUUUGCCUUGGCGCCUGCGCCGUGCGGGUGGAAGUCUGUCUGGGCUGCGGAGAAACUGGCUGAGGAUUCGAGCGCGCCUGCGCACUAUGGCAUUGGCACGUUCCGCCUUCCUGACCCAGUUGCGGCCCUUCCUGCUCUGAUGGGUUUUCGUGGGGUGAGAUUGGCUCUCCUUAGAGGGGUUUUUGAUACUGAGCCUCCCAAAUGCAACGGCUGGCAUUGAACUUGGGAUCCUCCUGUCUCUGCCUCCCAAGCACCUGGAAUUAUAGGUGGAUUUAUCUUUUCUGAAUAGCAUCCACCAUAGGAAUGAAGUCAUCCUGACUUGGGGAUGGUACCAGAAGAUUUCAGAAAUGACUCCCAAAUUAACAAGUGAGUUACAACUCCAGACAAUGGAAUGUAGCCUUUGAAUCAUCUCUUUAAAAGCUUCCUGUUCCUGCUGAUGGACAGAAUCAUAACCUUUGGGACAGGAGUCCCCUGUGUUUCUUCUUUGCUAGCAAAGCAGUAAACCUUCUUUUUCCUUUUUUCUCAAAACCAUGUCCUCAUUAUUGGAUUGACAUUGGGGACAAGGACCUGUAAUGGGUUCACUUGAUGCUUUGACUAUAUCACUUGUGGCUUUGAAACUUACAUUUAAAAAAAAUUUUUUUUCUAAUAUUUUCCAUAAACUUCUCCUUUCUGAUCUCUCUAAUCUAAUUUUCUCUGAAUUACCUCUUUAAAGCCCCACCUACCUCCUGUGGAUGGGCAGAAUCACAGCUUUUGGAACAGGAGUCCCUUGUGUUUCUUCUUUGCUAGUAAAGCAAUAAACCUUCUUUUUCUUUUCUUUUUUUCCCCCCAAAACCAUAUCCUUGUUACUGGAUUGGCAUCGGGGAUAAGCACCAAGCUUUUGGCAACAGAUGGAGCUUUUGGCAGAAAAUUUGGCCAAGAAAGCUCUCCACCUGGGGGUAGUCCUGGCUUUCUAAGGAACCCCACUUCCAUGCUGAGGAUGUAAGGUGAACUGCUGAGAGCCAACUGCUGAAGAGUUAGGAGAGUUGCCUUGUGUUAAACCGGAGGAGCUGUUCCUGUGAGUAAAGGGAGGAACUGAGGGAUGAUCCCAGCAGCUGCCGAAGCUCUUUUGCUUCAGGGAACCCUUGCCUUCUCUCCCUGAACAGUACAGGUUGCUCCAUCAUGGUCCACUUUGAGAAGAAGGAAACUGAACUCAGGAAAGUCGCAACACUCAUGACCAUUUGUAAGUCCCCUGGUGUGAACACCAAGACCCUUGAUUCCACACAUCUGGUUCCUUUUUUGGAGAACAUCUGGUUUCUCUUUCUGCAGACAUCCGUGGUGCCACUGGUGUAGGAGUCAUGGUUAAGUGGGACUCAAGAACCAACCUAGGGCUGGGUGCUGUGGCGCAUGCCUGUAAUCCCAGCAGCUCGGGAGGCUGAGGCAGGAGGAUCAUGAGUUCAAAGCCAGCCUCAGCAAAAGCAAGGUGCUAAACAACUCCAUGAGACCCUGUCUCUAAAUAAAAUACAAAAUAGGGCUGGGGAUCUGGCUCAGUGGUUGAGUGCCCUGAGUUCAAUCCCUGAUACCCUCCCCCUUCCCUAAAAAGAGCCUAAGGAUAUGAACUCCCUUUUGAUUUGUUCUAGGUUCCAUCUGUUCAUUGGCCUUAGACUUAGGAAUUCCCUUUGGUUGUUAGUUUUGGCCAUGGUUUCGGGGCUCCUCUCUGCUUGUCUCUGAGUGCUUCUUUUUUGUACAGUCUUGCAAUUGCAGUUGGUCUGCCAAAGGUGAAAUGAGUUGAAGAAAAGACCACCAAUAUAGGUAUAAGCCUGUCUAACAUAAUGUUUUACUGUAAUAAUCUGGCUUUUGAAUAGCUUUCUGGAUUAUUAUACAAUCUUGUAGUUGGAGUUGGUCUGUGAGGGGUAAAACAUAUGAAAGAGAUUCUGUAUGUUCAGGCAUUUAUGCAGUUGCGUGAUAAGGAAUUUGAAUCAUCAGGAACUAACUUGAAGGUGCCAAAAGUCACUGCCUUUGGUGUGCAAGGAUAGCAGAACAUGAGAAGAAAGGGUUAAAAAAGAUUUAAAUACUUUAAACCCAGUGCUGGCAUUCCUGGCACUGUUUCUCAGCCUGGCCCCAGACAGCCACAGAUCAUCUCACUGAGGUCAAAGACACAAGCCCUAAACUGGGGGUGGGGAUCCCAGAAAAGCUUCUGGGCUAUAGAAAAAUGGCCAAAGAGAACCUGGACUCUGCCCUGCCUUCCAGCCCCUUGUGCCCUGUAUGUGUGUGUGUGUGUGUGUGUGUGGCGGGGGUGGGGGUGGGGAUGGAGUCUUCUGGCCACAAAGAAUGUGGCAGUAGGUUCCAGCAUUGUCAGUAUAUGACCUAGGGACAGGAAUAGUCUCUACUUAAAGAUCUGACAGGACAUCCCAUUUGGCCAGGGGAUAUUCCUCACUGGGGCAGAGCAAUUCUUGCUGUAAUAGUAUCCCAUCAAACUAGAUGCCUGGGGAAACUGGUAGAAUAAAUAACUACAUCGAAAAAAGAAAAGGCCAACCUGUGUUUUGAAGGCAGCCUCUGCAAAGGGAUGCUUAGUAUUAGAAAAAGAGCCCCAAAUAGCCUCUGGGUACUACUGACAGUCGGGAACUCACUUAAAGUCGAUGGCAUCAUGAUAAUGAUAAGGCAGACAGGUCAGCCUCAAAAAUAGCCUGUGCUCCAACCCCUUGAAUGCAACUGGGGAGAAAGAAAGACUAAGGCAUAGUUUUUGUAUAUGCUGUUUUGUCCAAUUCUCUUCUGGGAUGAAAUUUGUUGUGUAAAUUAAACAUACAGAUAACAUUCUCAAGAACUGUUUCAGAAUAUGAAUUUAAAUAAGGAUCAAAAACUGGAAAAGAUAAAAGAAAGUUACAGGUAUGAAAAUAUACGGAAAAUUAAUGUUUCUGGAUGAGAAAGUAUUUUGGUAAAGUAAUAUUCUUAUGCUAAAGUCCAAGAUGAAAGAGAACAAAACUAAGGAUGUGAAGUUGUGACUGUGAUUUUACCAAAAAAAGAGAAAGAGUAACUUUUGUACAUCAACAAGCUUGAUUGCAGACAUAACUUUUUUUUUUUUUUUAAGUUGUAGAUGGGCACAAUACCUUAUUUUAUUUUUAUGUGGUGUAAGAAUCAAACCCAGUGCCUCACACCUGCUAGGUAAGUGUUCUACCACUGAGCCACAACCCCAGCCCUGCAGAAAGAGAAACAUGACCUUUACAAUAAAGAGGAGCUAAACCACAAUGAGCUCUCUAGAAAUCCUGUUGACUUUUUAAAAAUAUCUUGUUUACUAGGAGAAAGGCUUAUAUAUUACAAUUAAGGUGGGGAUCUUUUGGACACUACAUCAUUUGGAGUAUUUGUGGUACAUCGUUACCCCCUCUAUGCUCAUUAUUUAACCCUUUAAGUCAAAAAACAUCAUUAUCUUCUAGGCUUAACAUUUUAUAUAAUGCCGUAAUCUUAAUUUCUCUCUCUGUUACUCCCUCCCCACCCCAAUAGCUGCUUCUGUAGUUGACCCAAUGUUUCAUUGUAAAAGGGAGACAAACAUGAAAGCAAUAAACAAUAGCAUAAUCCAUUCUAUGUCAAUUAAACUUUUGAAUCCACCAAGAAUAGAAAAACCAUCCUCCAAAGAGUGAGCUUGGUUCCCAAGCCUUAAUGCCCUUUCAGGUUUGAACUAGUACAUGUGCUAGUUGUUGUUGUUUUUUUUUUUCAAUUUAAUUAAUAAGUUUAAAUUUUAUAUAAGAAAAGUAUACAUAUUUUUAUGACCAUUAAAGUGUCCAGACUUCCUUUUAAGCCUUAGUCCUUUAUGAAUUUUUUUCAAUUAGUUAUAUAUAACAGCAGAAUGCAUUUUGACUAUUAAACACAAAUGGAGGCAACUUUUCAUUUCUCUGGUUAGACACAGUGCACAGUCACCCCAUUCCUGCAAUCAUACAUGUACAUAGAUUAAUACAAUCCACCUCAUUCCACCAUCCUUCCCACUCCCAUAUCCCCUCCCCUCCCACACUCCCCUCUGCCCAAUCCAAAGUCCCUCCCAUCUUCCCUUGCCCCGCCCCCCAUUAUGGGUUAGCUGUGUGUUUGGUUGUUGUCAGUCCUGUAGUAAAGACCAAGGAAAGGACUGUGCAUAUGACAGAAGUAAGGGGUGGCAAUGCACCACAGUAUGAGAGCCCUCUUACAGGAUGAAACAGUCCAUUUGUCCUGUUGCCUAGUUUAUUUUCCUCCUUGCAUUGAUCAGCCAGCCCUCAAGUGGCUGAAGCAGGGCUGCUGUUUCCUCAAGCUUUGGUGUGUGCAGGCUAGCUAGCUUCCAGGGUGACCAGAGCAGGGCUAGUGUCCUUCUGAUCCUCAAGCUUCUCUGGUGUUUCCUUCUUCCUGAUGGUCAGCUGAAGGGGAGCAAAAGAAUGUACAUGAGAUUCUAUUACAGACAGUCUAAAAACAAACCAAAAAGAACAAAAUAUUACAUAAUACACUAUGUAUAUGUGUGUGAGUAUAUAUAUGUGUGUGUGUGUGUGUGUGUGUGUGUGUGUACACACACACACAUACAUUUGGUGAUACUGUAAAGAGGAGUAAAAAAGUUGUGGACACUGCUCCCUGUGUGUGCGGCAGAGGUGGGGGAUAUCCUGGAAGGUUUGAACUACAUAGAUUUAUCUCAAUGUAACUUUAAACAAAUUUGAAAACAGCUUUUAAUUCCAUGAGCCUGACCCAACAUUUCAUGCUUUGGUUUAUGACCUUCCAUAUAUUAUUAUUUCCUCUAAAAACAUGAUGUAAAUUUCAACUCCCUACCUCACAGGUCAGUUGUCAUCCAAAGGUGCACUUCUAGGUGUGUCACCUUUAGUCUGAGAAUAUAUUUCUGCAUGGAAAUAUUGCUGAAUGCCUACCUGGCUCCCAAGGUGAGGUAGUGCAGAACAACUUGAUUUGCCCAUGGCUUAUUGUCGGGAGCUGCCUUGGAUGCAGACGCCUUUAAGCCCUGAUGCACCGGGUUCUGAACAAUUAUUGCAUUCAGUCUGGCAGGGCAGUGCCAGGUUGCAGUAAUGUGGGCGUCACCCCAGCUCAGAUAACAAGGCAUGGCUCCAGGUGUAGGCAUCACCCACUGGGGUUGAGUUACACUCAUCUGUUCCCUUGUAUUCCGACCCCUUUGCCCUUUUUGGGAUAAAAUGUUCUAUGGAAACUCCCCUUGUGUGUGUCUCCUAUGUAACAAUAAAGAAUUCCAGUGGCUCUAUGUCUUUCCAUGGGCCCUUAGGUUCACAGAGCCAUCCCCGGAUUAUUGAAAAGGUACUUCUGUGUGGUUGUGUGCCUUCUUUGUCAUUUUCUUAAGUUAUUGGAAUAGUCAGAUUUAUGAACCACGCAUUAGGUCUCCAGCUAUGACAGAUGGUGAUAGCUUAUCAUCCUCACCAUCUUUGUUUUACCAGAUGCAAAACCAAGGUUGUACCUAGUUCUGGACCCUGGACAAGGUCACCUAGUUAAAAGGGAUGUGAAUUCAGCUCUACCAACUCUGAUGCCUUUGCCUCUCCCCACACUACCCUUUGCAAGACAAAACUAGGUAACAUAUUUUUCCUUUCUUGAUAAUCUCAUGGAAGAAGCCAAUGUCAGACUAAGUUUGGUAGUUCUAGGAGGGUAUUUUCCCAAGAGGGGGCUUUUCCCCAAGUCCAGGUGGGUGGAGUCUGUCCAGUCUGGCUCAUACCACUGCCCAGAGCCCAAGAGCCCAGAUGGCUUUCUCUGGAAUCCAGAGUCCCCUUCAGAGAGGAGUGUGAGGGUGAGUUAGGAAGCUGCUUCCAGGCUGGACUCCCAGAGCAGCCAGAGAUCCCUCUCCAGCUUGCCCCACAGGGUCAAGGUCCAGAGGAGGCCAGUAGCUCCACCUCUGCCCCCUCACCAGCAGGCUGGACCCACCUAGCCCUGCCCACUGCCUGCUGUGAGGACUGCAACCUUUGUUUAAAGUACUCACUUGUUUUCCUUGGAUGAGUUCCCUGAGUCAGCACAACUCCUGCUCAAGGGCCCAGAAGGACUGGUGGGUGGUCCUGGGGGAGGAAAGGCAGGCGGCAAGCGGUGGGCUCUGAUGAGGCGACUGGGAUGGAGACUGCCCAACUUCCCAGCUUCUGUGGUCUUGGGCAGCACAGCAGCAUCUUUGGGAUGGAAUCACUGAAGAGGCCUCAUGGAGUGGUAGCAUCUGGUGGCAGCAGCAGCAACAUGUAGCUGCUUCAGGCAUAGGGCAUCAGGCGAGGGAGGUCCGGAGUUGAGAGUUGGCAUGGGGGUGGCAACAGCUGAGGUGUUGGCAUCCAGCUGCAGUUUGGGAGAUCCCUUGCUGCAUACUCACUGUGGCGGUGGCAGCAGAAGAGUCCAGAAGCUGCUGUGGUGACAACAGAGGGAUGUUGCCAUGAUCAUUUCUGUCCUGCAGUGCCACAGGAGUCUGGCUGCAGUGGGUGAAGUGGGCAUCCAGUGCUGAGUAUCGCUGUCUUGCGUCCAUGAUGGAGUCUGGUGGUGGCAGCAGCAACAUGCAGCUUCAUCCGGGAGCCGGCAUGGGGCACUGGAGUCAGGCAUCAUGGUGGGGGGUGAAGGGCAUUGACGUUGGGCCCUUGGUGGGCAGCAUCAUAGUCCAGCUGGGGUUUGGGAGUUUGGUUGCUGCACGGUGGCGGCAGCACCAGUAGAGUCUGGAAACGGGGCUGAGGACACAGAGGCGUCCAGUGGUGAGCAUCUUCAUCCUGCUGGGGUAACAGGAAUACUGCUGCAGUGGCAUCUGGCGACCAUGUGGGGAGUCCCGUGGCUACAGUGAAGAGCUCCAGGCUGGUGGCGGCAGCGAGGGCGCAGGGCAGUGAGCCUCAGAGUGGAAGGGCGACGAGAGGCUGGAAUGGCCUCUGCAGUGGCUGUUCCAGGCCCUGGGUCUUGGUCCUGGCUGAGCGGCCUGUUCAGGAAGCAGCACGAGGGGGGUGGCAAUACCCAGGCAGCUGCUGAGGACCUUAGGCUGCCCACACCUGCCUCGCCUGGCACUGGCCAUGAGCCCGCCGGGUGGCUGCUCGCCCCAUCCCCGAUGUGGCCUCUGCGGGGGAACUAGGCCAUCUGCCAGGUGGGGCAGCCUUGGGAGAGGACCCUCACCUUCCUAAGAGACAUCCCACCUGGGCUGUGGGGGGAGGGAGCAGAGGAACUAGGACCUCUUCAUCCUCAAAGUGCAUUUCUGAUUGGAAGCAUUUCCUCUCAGAACUGGAACAGGACAAGGAUGCCCUCUCUCACCUUCUACUCUACAUAGUCCCUGAUACUCUAGCCAGAGUUUAAACUAUACUGCUGUUUAAACUCCAGUACAGCUUAGACUACAUGACAGAGCUGUAGAUGAAAGAAAUUAAAGGGAUAGGAAUAGGGGAAGAAGAACUCAUACUAUCCCUAUUUGCUGAUGACAUGAUUCUACACAUAGAGGAUCCAAAAAAACUCCACCAGAAAACUUCUAAUAUUAACAAAUUCAGCAAUGUCACAGGAUAUGAAAUCAAUAUUCAUAAAUCAAAUGCAUUUCUAUCUAUUAGUGAUGAACCCUCUGAAAGAGAAAUUAGGAAAACUAUCCCAUUCACAAUAGCCUCAAAAAUGAAAUAUUUGGGUAUAAAUUUAACAAAAGAGAUGAAAGACCUAUACAAUGAAAACUAAAGAAAGAAAUUGAAAAGACUUUCAAAGAUGGUGGACCAGAGGGAAGCAGCAUCUGUGUUGCUCUGUGAUCCAGAUCUCUCCUAGUAGGAAUUCUGCAUCUCUUGAGAGUGUUAGAGGCCCCUGUACAGCUUCUCUCUACAGAAAUGACCAGCGCUGUGACCUCACGCAGGACUCAGGGCCUCAGUGUCCGAGCAGGACCCAAAGCCAAAGUUGCAGUUCACUUAAGACUUGGCCAGCGCCUUAGCAGAACCACCUACCAACACAUCUGCAGACCGCUGAGACUCGCUCCACUCCCACGCAGGUCACUCAGCUGCUACCUCCCCACAGCACAAGGCCAUCGGUUCCCCUGACAUCACACCGACUACAUCUUGGAAAGCAUUCCUUGCCAUUUUGAGGUGGGCGUGGCUAUCGGAUCCCUACCCUUUUGAGCAGGUACCUGAUUCCAAUUCCUCCCUCAUGGCCACACUAUCAUAAACCUUAUACAGAUUUAAUGUGAUUCCAAUUAAAAUCCCAAUAACAUUCCUCAUAGAAAUAGAAAAAGUAAUCAUGAAAUUCAUUUGGAAAAAUAGACACAGAGAAAUCCUUAUUGACAAAGCAAUCCUUAGCAAAAAGAGUGAAGUAGGAGACAUCACAAUAUCAAAACUUAAACUACUACAGAUCUGUAGUAACAAAAACGGCAUGCUAUUGGCACCAAAAUACACAUGUAGACCAAUGGUCCAAAAUAGAAGAUACAGAGAAAAACCCACAUAAAUGUAGUUAUCUCAUUCUUGACAAAGGUGCCGAAAACAUACAUUAGCUAAACGAUAGCCUCUUCAACAAUGGUGCUGGGGAAACUGUAAAUCCAUAUGUAGCAGACUGAAAUUAAACCACGAUCUCUCACCUUGCACAAACACUCAAAGUAGAUUAAGGACCUAGGAAUUAGACCAGAGACCCUGUACUUAAGAAAUAAAAUCAAGAAUUAAUAAUGGGAUGGAUUCAAACUUAAAAGCUUCUUCUCAGCAAAGGAAACAAUAAUAUGAAGAGAGAGCUCACAGAGUGGGAGAACAUCUUUACUGCACGCACAUUAGAUAAAACACUAAUUUCCAGGAUAUAUUAAAAACUCAAAAACUUCAACACCCAAAGAAUAAAUAACCCAAUAAAUAAAUGGGCUAAGGAAAUGGACAGACACUUCACAGAAGAAGAUACACAGUCGAUCAACAAAUGUAUGAAAAUAUGUUCAACUUCACCAGAAAUUAGAGAAAUGCAAAUCAAAACUACUCUAAGACCAUCUUACUCCAGCCAGAAUGGCAGUUAACAAGAAUACAAGCAACAAUAAGUGUUGGUGAGGAUGUGGGGGGGGGGGGAA